rnacentral:rRNA from 1 species
UACGUAGGGUGCAAGCGUUAAUCGGAAUUACUGGGCGUAAAGCGUGCGCAGGCGGUUUUGUAAGUCUGUCGUGAAAGCCCUGGGCUCAACCUGGGAAUUGCGAUGGAGACUGCAAGGCUAGAGUGUGUCAGAGGGGGGUAGAAUUCCACGUGUAGCAGUGAAAUGCGUAGAUAUGUGGAGGAACACCGAUGGCGAAGGCAGCCCCCUGGGAUAACACUGACGCUCAUGCACGAAAGCGUGGGGAGCAAACAGG